CGGAGGGGCUAGCGUUGUUCGGAAUUACUGGGCGUAAAGCGUACGUAGGCGGCUUUGUAAGUUAGAGGUGAAAGCCCGGAGCUCAACUCCGGAAUUGCCUUUAAGACUGCAUCGCUUGAAUCAUGGAGAGGUUAGUGGAAUUCCGAGUGUAGAGGUGAAAUUCGUAGAUAUUCGGAAGAACACCAGUGGCGAAGGCGACUAACUGGACAUGUAUUGACGCUGAGGUACGAAAGCGUGGGGAGCAAACAGGAUU
rnacentral:rRNA from 1 species